rnacentral:tRNA from 1 species
GUCCAUGUAAUUUAUUAAAAAUAUUGGUCUUGUAAACCGAAAAAAGAAUUUCUUUUGGGCU